AUUGAACGCUGGCGGAAUGCUUUACACAUGCAAGUCGAACGGCAGCACGGGUGCUUGCACCUGGUGGCGAGUGGCGAACGGGUGAGUAAUGCACCGGAACGUAUCCAAUAAUGGGGGAUAACGCACCGAAAGGUGUGCUAAUACCGCAUACGCCCUGAGGGGGAAAGCGGGGGAUCGUAAGACCUCGCGUUAAUGGAGCGGCCGAUGCCGGAUUAGCUAGUUGGUGAGGUAAAGGCUCACCAAGGCGACGAUCUGUAGCUGGUCUGAGAGGACGACCAGCCACACUGGAACUGAGACACGGUCCAGACUCCUACGGGAGGCAGCAGUGGGGAAUUUUGGACAAUGGGCGCAAGCCUGAUCCAGCCAUUCCGCGUGAGUGAAGAA
rnacentral:rRNA from 1 species